rnacentral:rRNA from 1 species
AUUGAACGCUGGCGGCAUGCUUUACACAUGCAAGUCGAACGGGCUGUUGGGGCAACCUGGCAGUCAGUGGCGGACGGGUGAGUAAUGCAUCGGAACGUGUCCCAUAGUGGGGGAUAACCCGGCGAAAGCCGGACUAAUACCGCAUAAGCUCUAUGGAGGAAAGCGGGGGACCUGAAAGGGCCUCGUGCUUUGGGAGCGGC